rnacentral:misc_RNA from 1 species
UAUCGAUAGAAGUUAUAGGAAUCAGCUGCAGGAGGUCAAAAUAGAAAAACAGCUAAAACAUGUCAAUAAUAUUGAGACAAAACUUUCGGUCGUCCUGGCUCCUCAAGCAAGCAUGCCCCAGCUUAGCCUACAGCUCCAGUGCCCAGUCCGGAGACGCUGCCGCCAAGACAAUUCCCAAGAAUCUAUUAGAAGAUAAGCAAACGGCCGUUCUGCAAAAGGAGAACGGAGCCAUCUUCGACAAGCGUCCAUUCAAAAUUCAUCUGGACAAAGAUAAGACCUACAGCUGGUGUCUGUGCGGCAAGUCCAAGUCCCAGCCCCUUUGCGACGGGAUGCACAAAAACGAGUUCCUCAAGAUAAAGCAGAGGCCCAUUCGGUUCAAAGUGGAGAAGACUGGAGACUAUUGGCUGUGCAACUGCAAACAAACCACCCACCGGCCGUUCUGCGACGGGACCCACAAGCAGCCGCACAUCCAGACGGCCGUUAAAUAGUUUUGUGCUUCGGCGAAUUAUGUGAAAAUGAUAAAUGCAUUAAUUUUGAAUCAAGCAACACGUGGUUUUUAUUCUAGAGUAUAGAACGUUAAUUAUAAUCUCGAUUAGUGAAUGAGCCAUGAACGUACAUCUAAGUCUCGAUCAAAAGCAGGAAUGGGGGUGGUGUGUUCAGACGAAAUCCGCAAAAUAAAAGUGUUUGUGUUUAUAAAUAAAAGAGAUGUUCGUUUUUAUUUAACUUUUAACGUUGUUCUACCUGAUUUUACAUAUAAAUACAGAACUUAAUCGAGUUGAGAGCAAAGUCACUUAUCAUAUGUGUGUGUAUAAUUUUGUUAUGCAGCCAAUUAAUCAAAAAUCGAAAGUAAAAAUACGCGUUAGUCGAAUGUCAUCUCAUUGCUAAAUAUUUUCACAUUACAAAAAUUCGGGGCAUUUUAUCCACUACAUACACUCAAAACGA